rnacentral:rRNA from 1 species
UACGUAGGGCGCAAGCGUUGUCCGGAAUUAUUGGGCGUAAAGAGCUCGUAGGCGGUCUGUCGCGCCCGUUGUGAAAACUCGGGGCUCAACUCCGAGCUUGCAGUCGAUACGGGCAGGCUAGAGUUCGGCAGGGGAGACUGGAAUUCCUGGUGUAGCGGUGGAAUGCGCAGAUAUCAGGAGGAACACCGGUGGCGAAGGCGGGUCUCUGGGCCGUAACUGACGCUGAGGAGCGAAAGCAUGGGGAGCGAACCGG